AGCCAUUUCCUUCUUUAAUUUUUAUUUAUUUUUUAUUUUUUAUUUUUUUUGUGUGUAUGUGUGUAUGUAGCUUUCGACUCCUGAAAUGGCUUGUGAAAGUUAAAAAUGCUCUGUAAGCUGAGUGUCUGCAAGCAAAGUACCUUCUGUCUGGUCUUCUCUGAGAAGCACAAAAGCUGAAGACAACGGAGGGAAAUUGAAGAGAGCAAGAGGCCAUGAAAAACUUGAUGUGUUCUGUUCACCCAGAAGAUUUCCUGAAGGAUGCAUAAAUCUGACAUGAGAAUACAUGAAUAACAGUUUGAUGUGCUUACCAAAUGUAUCAGGAGAAGUUUGGACCAGAAGGGCUUUCAAGAAGCACACUGAAACAAG
rnacentral:lncRNA from 1 species